rnacentral:rRNA from 1 species
AAAACAUCGCCUCCUGCAACACAACCAAGUAUAGGAGGUCCAGCCUGCCCAGUGACUACAAGUUUAACGGCCGCGGUAUUUUGACCGUGCAAAGGUAGCGCAAUCACUUGUCUUUUAAAUAGAGACCUGUAUGAAUGGCUAAACGAGGGCUUAACUGUCUCCCCUUUCCAGUCAGUGAAAUUGAUCUACCCGUGCAGAAGCGGGUAUAAUAAUACAAGACGAGAAGACCCUUUGGAGCUUAAGGUACAAAACUCAACCACGCAAAGCAACUCAAUAAAAAGCAAAAACUUCGUGGAAUAUGAAAUUUUACCUUCGGUUGGGGCGACCACGGAGGAAAAGAAAGCCUCCAAGUGGACUGGGACAAACCUCCUAAAACUAAGAGAGACAUCUCUAAGCCACAGAACAUCUGACCAAACAUGAUCCGGCAAUAAGCCGAUCAACGAACCAAGUUACCCUAGGGAUAACAGCGCAAUCCUCUCCCAGAGUCCAUAUCGACGAGAGGGUUUACGACCUCGAUGUUGGAUCAGGACAUCCUAAUGGUGCAGCCGCUAUUAAGGGUUCGUUUGUUCAACGAUUAAAGUCCUACGUGA